rnacentral:rRNA from 1 species
UACGUAGGGGGCAAGCGUUGUCCGGAUUUAUUGGGCGUAAAGAGCGUGUAGGCGGUCAGGUAGGUCUGCUGUGAAAACUCGAGGCUUAACCUCGAGAUGUCGGCGGAAACCAUCUGGCUAGAGUCCGGAAGAGGAGAGUGGAAUUCCUGGUGUAGCGGUGAAAUGCGCAGAUAUCAGGAAGAACACCCGUGGCGAAGGCGGCUCUCUGGGACGGUACUGACGCUGAGACGCGAAAGCGUGGGGAGCGAACAGG